AUUGAACGCUGGCGGCAGGCUUAACACAUGCAAGUCGAGCGCCCCGCAAGGGGAGCGGCAGACGGGUGAGUAACGCGUGGGAAUCUACCCAUCACUACGGAACAACUCCGGGAAACUGGAGCUAAUACCGUAUACGUCCUUCGGGAGAAAGAUUUAUCGGUGAUGGAUGAGCCCACGUUGGAUUAGCUAGUUGGUGGGGUAAUGGCCUACCAAGGCGACGAUCCAUAGCUGGUCUGAGAGGAUGAUCAGCCACACUGGGACUGAGACACGGCCCAGACUCCUACGGGAGGCAGCAGUGGGGAAUAUUGGACAAUGGGCGAAAGCCUGAUCCAGCCAUGCCGCGUGAGUGAUGAAGGCCCUAGGGUUGUAAAGCUCUUUCAACGGUGAAGAUAAUGACGGUAACCGUAGAAGAAGCCCCGGCUAACUUCGUGCCAGCCGCCGCAGUAAAAC
rnacentral:rRNA from 1 species